GGAACACAAGGGGAAGGGGACGAUGGGGCAGGCUGGAGUCACCUGGACUUGGACUCUGCAGGUCUGAACAGACUGCUAUGGUCCACACAGCCAGUAACUGAGAGGAUUGGAAGAUGGAUAUGUUUUCUCUUCUAGACAAAGAGUCUCAGGCCAAGCUUGGGGCCUGUGUGAGGGACAAGUGAACUCUGGGUAGGUUCUAGCUGCCCUGGGGCAGUCUGUUGCUAUUUCGGUUGAAUUGGAGAUAGCUCUUCAAUCUGCCUGUGGCCUGUGAGGUAUGGAACUUGAAGGCUGGGAGGAAGAAGAAGGAAGAGAAGGAGAAGAGAAAGAGGCAAAGGAGGGCAGGAUAGGAGCUCUUCAUUUCGUGUCCUGGCUUUGACUGUGAUUUUUGAGGUGGCUCUACCUCAGAGAAAUACAAAAAUGCCUGGCAUCCUGCUGACUUCUCAGCUCAGUCUGAGACUGCUGCUAUGUCUCUCAACAACUGCAGCUGUGUCUUAGUACAUAAAUGAUCAGGCUUCCUGACAGCCCAUCUCAUCCUACAAAAACACACCAGUGCCCACUUAUCUCUACUCCCACUAGCACAUCACCAAAUUCUACAGAUUUCUGGGGCGUUCUGGGCCAGACUUCAUGACGGCUGUACACACUGACUUCUGCUCUCCACCUACCUCUCCUCAUCUGUACAUCUCGGGUAGAUGGCUUACUGCAUGCAUCCCUGAUGAACAGCAAGAAACCUGUGGGCUAGCCAGGAAUCCCUAGAUUGGCAGCUGCGUGGCAUGGGCUGGCUAAAUGUAGCUGCUUUUUUUUUUUAUUCGUAGCUGCUUUUUAAGAUGAUAUCACACAGCAGGAGAUUUGCUAUACCACUUGUCCCCCUAGCCCCCACCCCAUAGAAAGGUUGCCAGUGGCAAGGAGCAGGUAUUUCUUUUGGAUCCCUUCUGGUGCCUGGGAAAAAGCUAGUGACUGUAUCAUUGCUGCUAGGCAGCUACCCAUCAGCACAGUCUUCUUCAGUCAAGAUGUGGAAUUGCAGGGCCACUUAAAUGUGAAGAGAGUUCAAUUUCACCAGCCACUUGUUCUCUGGGUCUUCACAAAACCAUUACUUCAUCCCUGCUUUUAUCAAGUAGCCAAAAGAUGUUUAUGGAAUACUUGCCCUGAGUGUACACUAUUGUGCUAGGGACAGAAAUUUCUCUAAGUACCAUGAAGAUCCAGAAGGAAUCAAUAUUUUUUCUCUCCCUCCCAACCCACUCUGGAUGUCACACACUUCUCUCUCCUCAAUACCCACUCACUCAGAGUACCAGGAUCCUUGUGUUGCAACCCUUCAUAAAAGCAUCCACUAUCAGAGGCCCCUGAUUGAGACUCAAUAGCCAGCUUGAUUCUGGCCAAAGAGAGUGGAGGCAAGCCAAGACGGCACUUACUGCAUCUGUUUCUCCAAUUGUCACCUGCUCAGAGAAUCGGACCUUCACGGGAUUGGACCUCAGCUUGGCCUUCUUUGCAGCACUGAUGAAGGCAGAUUUAGGGGACUGGAAAAAGAACAAAGGGCUGGUGAGUUCUCCAUUCCUUUGUAAUAUUAGUUACGAUGUCUUUCUCAAUACAUCUGGAGCUGGUGGUUCACACCUGUAAUACCAAGAACUCAGGAGGCUAAGCCAAGAGAUCGUGAGUUUGAGACCAGCCUGGACUUCCACAGUGAGACACUAUCUCCAAAAAGAAAAUACCAGUACAGAGAUAUUUUGGCUUACUGAUCGAUGAGUCAAUAGACAAGUAUUGACUACCUUUUAAGCACAGGCAAGUGCUACAAGGCAGUGUGCUAAUUGUCUCCCUGUAUGAUUGGUGUGUUGUGUAAAAGCUGGGCAUGAAUUGAAUUUGGAUAAACUGAAUCUCAUUAUAAAUUCUCUAAGCCUAAGGAUGUUUGCAAAAAAUAAAAAUCUUCAGUAAUCAUAUACAUUAAAUUUUUACAUAUUCAGUUUUUCUAAUACGAGAUUGACUUAAAUAGUAGACUUCAUUGUGUGUGAAUACAAACAUCCCAGAGGAUCUCCAGAAAUAAUCUUAUUGUCUCACAGGUAUGCCCCUAGAAAGAAGACUCAUAACAAAUAUUUUUGAGAUCUGAGGGAGAGGAAACACAGCCCUCCAAAAUGACUCAUCCAUACUUUCUGAACUGUACAGGAAGAGAGAGAGAGAGAGAGAGAUGAGCGAUUUAGCUCAGUGCCCCUGGCUUUCUACUUCCAAAUGCUGCAUCACUUUGUGUAUUCAAUUCUGCAUGAAAUGCCCGAAGAAUCAGUCAGGCUCUCUUAUUCUUGAAACCUUUCCCAAAAUUCAGCAGGAAGCAUGAUUAGCAAACACUGUAAACUACAGUUAGCCCUUGGUACCCACAGCUUUGCAUCCGUGCGUUCAACCAAGCAGAGAUUAAAAAUACAUGAAAUAAUAACAACAAUACCAAACCCUCUGUCUCUGCUGAACAUGUACAUUUUUCUUGCCUCCAUUUUCUAAACAACACAGUGUAACAACUAUGUAUGUAGCAUUUACCGUGUAUUCAGAAUCUUAAGUCAUCUAGAGAUUAUUU
rnacentral:lncRNA from 1 species